CUUUCUAAAUGCAGCAAACAAGUUCCUUGUCAAUCUAAUACAGACGCCUGUUUAAAACUCACCGAAAAAUGUGCAAGUGCCUCGCCGGUAACGUAGCGUGUUGCUGCUUUUAAUUGCGCCCUUAGUGUGCUAAUAUCAAUCAUCAGUACAUUUCUAAUCGUUUUCAUUGUGGGUCGGCCUUGGUUGGUGUACUUUGUUUACUACCACGAAAAGGAGGAUGAUUGUCUCUAAAACUCAAAGACACGGUCACCGAUAACUUCCAGUCAGGCAUUGACAAAAUAAAAAAUGCUCUAGGCAAGACAUAAGCUUGCGUAUAAAAAUAAGUGGAGUAAUUGAAAACAACCUAAUAUGCCACCAACCACCUACUGAAGCGAAAAGGCCGAAUGCCAAAAUGAUGAUAAUCAAGCAUUUCCAAUACCAGUA
rnacentral:sRNA from 1 species